UUUCUAUGUAAAUAUAAUGGUUAUAAAGUAAGUUUGUAUAUUACUAAAAGUUACUUAUGAUACAUAUUCACAUAAAGAAAAGAUAGCAUUUAAAGUAGUACAACACUAAACUUAGGGCCUACUAACUUGCUAAAUAUCCUAGUUUUCUAUGCAAUUGAUUUUUUUUUAAUUUUAGUGGGUCCACUGUAAGUGUAUAUAUAUAUGGGGUAUAUGAGAUAUUUUGAUAAAGGCACACAAUGUGUAAUCAUCACAUCAGGGUAAAUUAGGUAUUCAUCACCUCAAGCAUUUAUCCUUUCUUUGUGUUAUUUAUUUUUUAAAUGACAAAAUUUUACAUAUUUAUCAUGUUCAAUAUGAUAUUUUGAAAUAUGUAUACAUUGUGGAAUGGCUAGAUCAAGCUAAUUGACAUAUGCAUUACCUAACAUACUUACUUUUUUCUGUGAGAACACUUAAAACCUCCUCUGAGUGAUUUUCGAGAAUACAAUACCUUGUUAUUAACUGUAGUCACCAUGUUGUACAAUAGAUCUCUUAACUUUCUCCUCCUACCCAAUGAAAAUUUUGUAUCCUUUGACCAACAUCCUCUAGACACCUUCCUCCAGCUACUGGUAACCACCACUCUACUCUCUGUUUCUAUAAGUUCAACUUUUUCACAUUCCACUUAUAAAUGAGGUAAUAUGACAUUUGUCUUUCUGUGCCUGGCUUAUUUCACUUAACAUAAUGUCCUCUAGGAUCAUUUGUUUUGUUGCAAAGGACAGGAUUUCCCUCUUUUUAAAGGCUAAAUAGUAUUCCAUUGUGUAUAUGUACCACAUUUUCUUCAUUCAUCCAUCAGCGGACACUUAGGUUGAUUCCAUAUGUGGGUUAUUGUGACUAGUGCUACAAUAAACAUGAGCAUGCAGAUGUCUCUUCAACAUGCUGAUUUCCUUUACUUUGGAAAUAUAGACAGAAGUGGAAUUGCUGAAUCAUAUGGUAAUUCUAUUUUUAAUUUUUAAGGCUGUCCUAAUUUGCAUUCUCACCACUAGUUUACAAGGGAUCCCUUUUCCCCACAACCUCAUCAAUCCUCAUCUUUCAUGUUUUUGAUUAUAGCUAUCUAAUAGGUAUAAGGUGAGGUGAUACUGUGGUUUUAAUUUGCCUUUUCCUGAUGAUUAGUGAUGUUAAGGAUUUUUUUUCAUAUACCUGUUUGACAGUUGUAUGUUUUCCUUUGACAAAUAUCUGUUGUUCUGCCCAUUUUUAAUGAGGUUGUUUUCUCAAUAUUGGGUUGUUUGAGUUCUCUCUAUAUUUUGGAUAUUAACCCAUUAUCAGUAUGAUGUAAACUCAUUCGUUUACGUUCAUCUUUGUUGUCUGUGUUUUAUUUCCAAAGAAUCAUUGUCAUGAAAUUUCCCGUGCCCCACCCUUUAUUAUUAUUAUUGUUGUACUUUAAGUUCUGGGAUACACGUGCAGAACAUGCAGUUUUGUUGCAUAGGUAUACAUGUGCCAUGGUAGUUUGCUGCACCUAUCAACCCAUCAUCCAGGUUUUAAGCCCUGCAGGUUUUAAGGUAUUUGUCCUAAUGCUCUCCCUCUCCUUGCACCCAACUCCCCGACAGGCCCCAGUGUGUGAUGUUGCUCUCCCUGUGUCCAUGUGUUCUCAUUGUUCAACUCCCACUUAUAAGUGAGA
rnacentral:lncRNA from 1 species